rnacentral:rRNA from 1 species
UGGCCCGCGCGCUAACUGAUGCAUUCAACAAGCCUAUCCUUGACCGAAGGGUCUGGGUAAUCUUUGAAACUGCAUCGUGAUGGGGAUAGAUUAUUGCAAUUAUUAGUCUUCAACGAGGAAUGCCUAGUAAGCGCAAGUCAUCAGCUUGCGUUGAUUACGUCCCUGCCCUUUGUACACACCGCCCGUCGCUCCUACCGAUUGGGUGUGCUGGUGAAGUGUUCGGAUUGGCAGCUUAGGGUGGCAACACCUCAGGUCUGCCGAGAAGUUCAUUAAACCCUCCCACCUAGAGGAAGGAGAAGUCGUAACAAGGUUUCCGUAGGUGAACCUGCAGAAGGAA